GAGCUCUCCCAUCGGCGCCACCUGUCCUUGUUGCGCCGCCCCCUCCGCCGCCGUUCCUGCAGUCUGUGUCGCCGUGACCGAGCCGUCGGAGGUCGAACUCGUGGAGCCCACCGAGUCCGUUGAGCCUGAACCCGGAGUCCAGUUCGUGGUCGAGCCUGAAGUUAACCCAAGCAAGCAGCUAAGCAUAAUUUCUUGCACCUAUCUAAUCUGACUAGUUUAGUUAUCUCACUUGGGUAAUGUUGGGUUAUAUAUAUUAUGUAUGUAUUGCAUUCUUGUACCUACUUUGAUGCACUAUCCUUCCUUGAAUUGUUCAACCAUGUCCUUGCCACA